UCCACUUACGAAUUAACAUUAAACAGGGUACUUUGGUACACGCGGUAAUCUUGAGAAACCAAGUCAACAAGUUUCGUGCUAACUUACAUAGCUUUUCUGCAGCUCACUGCGAUACAAAAAUACAGGAGGAUAAUAUUAAUAUCCCGUCAAAUGGAUUGUAGUUUAUUAAGCAAAACAUUAUUCGCUCAACGGUUAAUAAUAACACCUUCCUAACAGAUGUGCUUGGAUGCAUAUGUGGAAUAGGUGAUCUUGAGAGUGUUGGUUCGAAAUGGAAUAAGCGUGACCUACACAUUCUUACUGAUCCCAUGAUAGGUCUGCGAAAACUAAAUAACGUUGUGGGGGGGACUUUGGAGAAGGAUUUUACCCAUACCUAUUCCCCCCCCCCCCCGAGUCCGGAUAAUACAUAGUCAUUGUUACGACAACAACAGUGAAGGAAUUCAGAGGUGAAAUUACUUUUGCCACCACCGCUGCAAGCAAAACGUAUGUUAAUCUUCCAAUGGCAAAUGCAACCUUAUUGAUUCAAAAGUUUGCAACCAAAACCAUUCACAAACAAAUAAUUGAGAGUGCAAAUGGAAGGAACAUACCCAUUGACGAGGCAAUGUUCGAGAACAGGAUGACUGUUUCAGAGUUACUGGAUUCGUACUAGAGUCAACGACAUAGAUGAAUGUAUAGUCACACUACAGGCACAAAUCGCUGAAAUAGAUACCUUUUUUAAUUGGCAUUACAUAUCAUGCAACUUAUGCAACAACAAAAUAGAACUGACGGAUGGUGUGUACACAUACCAUAAGUGCGUGAAGAAGUGUGAUUUCCCGUUGGUUAGGUACAAGAUACACAUCAAGGUAAAAGACAAUGGUGGGGAAACAACUUUGGUUCUUUUUAAUGGUAAAAGUUGCUUGAUACUUCUGCUUCCAAGUUGCUUAAUCAGUCAACCCACGAUGAUAAGGAUGUCCCAUCACAAAUUGAGAGACUUUGCGGCAAGGACAUUGUAUUCAAACAAAAAUUUACCAACUUCAAUUUGAAAGAAGGUCUGGAAAAUUAUACAGUAACAAAAGUCUUUGUGCCAGAUGAAGAUUUAUAAUUGCAACACCGCAUUAACAAAGAAAAAAAAGUGUAGUUAUCAAUCACAGGAUCAACUCCAAAAGGAAGAAAUAGCAAAAUCACAGGAGCAUGUUGCCGGAGGUUCACACAUUAACGACUCAGAAAAAUAUAUCGAUGAGGUGGAAGACACUUCAACCGGCAACAGAAUAGUGUAUGUAGGAAACAAGAACAACAAACCCAAUUGCAGCCAAACAUUUUCAACUACAAACAUCAAAAAGAGGAGAAACAUUAUCGUGCAGAACAACAAACAAAUCGCAGGACUAAUCAAAAUAGAGUCACAACUUGACAUUCCUUAUGAGGAAAUUUCAGAGCCUUACAACAUUCAACCAGAAUCUGAGGGUCAAGGAGAAAUGAAAGACAUAAAUGCUCCGAACGAAUGGAAAUCAGAUGGAUCUAAGACCAGUGAUUUUAUCGGAAGAAGAUCAGGAUGACGCACAAGAACCCAUUAUAAAGAGAAGAGUCCCAACUCAAAAACUAAAAAAGAAGAGAAGCGUAUACAUAGAGGACGACGAAGAAAGCUUUGCUCCCACCAAGACAAAUGCCAAAUGGAACAUUCCCCUACUUUACUGUAGAUACUAUUAGUUCACCAAAGAAGUAGAUUCUUUCAAGAUGUGUAUUGACUAUAUAUUAGUAACUACAAUAAUGACUUUCACUAAAUAUAAUGUUGCAUAUGUUGAUUAUUCAAUACAAUUAUGUUAUUUUGUGUUGUUAAA